UACGUAGGGUGCGAGCGUUAAUCGGAAUUACUGGGCGUAAAGCGUGCGCAGGCGGUUGGUUAAGUCUGAUGUGAAAGCCCCGGGCUCAACCUGGGAAUGGCAUUGGAAACUGGUCAGCUGGAGUGUGGCAGAGGGGGGUGGAAUUCCGCGUGUAGCAGUGAAAUGCGUAGAGAUGCGGAGGAACACCGAUGGCGAAGGCGGAUCUCUGGGCCUUACCUGACGCUCAGGCACGAAAGCUAGGGGAGCGAACAGG
rnacentral:rRNA from 1 species